rnacentral:rRNA from 1 species
GCGAAUCUCGAAAGCCUGUCUCAGUUCGGAUUGGAGGCUGAAACCCGCCUCCAUGAAGUUGGAUUCGCUAGUAAUCGCGCAUCAGCCAUGGCGCGGUGAAUACGUUCCCGGGCCUUGUACACACCGCCCGUCAAGCCAUGGGAGCCGGGGGUGCCUGAAGUUCGUGACCGCAAGGAGCGACCUAGGGCAAAACUGGUGACUGGGGCUAAGUCGUAACAAGGUAAC